UCAGUAGGUGAGGGUACCAUACGUGUCCCACUGUUUACAUGGAGGGACAGUGAAAGCUCAGAUUCCCUGCACUCCUUCCUCACUCAACACACUGGCUCUCAAUCUCAAGAACACUGAACAUAGGGUUAUGACAGUAGGGGGCAGCAGUCACCAAAUUGAUGUGUUCACCAACUUCAGUUACAGAGCCUUUUUCUCUCUCAUUUUUGAGCACACUUCAACAUUUGUUUGAGUUUGAUUUGAAGUCUGAGGCUGACUCUUGAAUUACGAUUUGAUAGAAUGCAACUAAACAAUGUAUUUUUAUAAGAAUUCGUUUUUUGGUUAUUGUUCGCUUGUGUGUGUUUUUAGCUUUACAUUUGAAUCAUGCAUUUUACCCUGAAAAGGGCUUUGAAGGUGCACCUGGUCAUUUUUUUUGUGUGUUACACUAGUAAAAUACACAAAGUAUAGUAUUACUCAUGUACAUUAUUAUUUUUUUACAAUUAAAAUAUAGAAAAAUUGUGUUAGA